AUUGAACGCUGGCGGAAUGCUUUACACAUGCAAGUCGAACGGCAGCACGGGGGCAACCCUGGUGGCGAGUGGCGAACGGGUGAGUAAUACAUCGGAACGUGCCCAGUCGUGGGGGAUAACGUAGCGAAAGCUACGCUAAUACCGCAUACGAUCUACGGAUGAAAGCGGGGGAUCGCAAGACCUCGCGCGAUUGGAGCGGCCGAUGGCAGAUUAGGUAGUUGGUGGGGUAAAGGCCUACCAAGGCGACGAUCAGUAGCGGGUCUGAGAGGAUGAUCCGCCACACUGGGACUGAGACACGGCCCAGACUCCUACGGGAGGCAGCAGUGGGGAAUAUUGGACAAUGGGCGCAAGCCUGAUCCAGCCAUGCCGCGUGAGUGAUGACGGCCCUAGGGUUGUAAAGCUCUUUCGCCAGGGACGAUAAUGACGGUACCUGGAUAAGAAGCCCCGGCUAACUUCGUG
rnacentral:rRNA from 1 species